rnacentral:rRNA from 1 species
GACGAACCGAGCGAACGUUGGUCGGGAUCACUGGGCUUAAAGGGCGCGUAGGCGGGCGUCCAAGUCAGGGGUGAAAUCUUUCGGCCUAACCGGAAAAGUGCCCCUGAUACUGGACAUCUCGAGGGAGGAAGGGGCGUGUGGAACUUUCGGUGGAGCGGUGAAAUGCGUAGAUAUCGGAAGGAACGCCGGUGGCGAAAGCGACGCGCUGGACCUCUUCUGACGCUGAGGCGCGAAAGCCAGGGGAGCAAACGUG